GAAGUCUUAGCUUAAUUAAAGCAUUUGUUUUGCAUACAAAAGAUGUGGAUUAAGUGUCCGUAGAUUUUA
rnacentral:tRNA from 1 species